rnacentral:rRNA from 1 species
UUUUAUGAGAGUUUGAUCCUGGCUCAGGACGAACGCUGGCGGCGUGCCUAAUACAUGCAAGUAGAACGCUGAAGUCUGGUGCUUGCACUAGACAGACGGAUGAGUUGCGAACGGGUGAGUAACGCGUAGGUAACCUGCCUCAUAGCGGGGGAUAACUAUUGGAAACGAUAGCUAAUACCGCAUAACAGUAUUUACCGCAUGGUAGAUAUUUGAAAGGAGCAAUUGCUUCACUAUGAGAUGGACCUGCGUUGUAUUAGCUAGUUGGUGAGGUAACGGCUCACCAAGGCUUCGAUACAUAGCCGACCUGAGAGGGUGAUCGGCCACACUGGGACUGAGACACGGCCCAGACUCCUACGGGAGGCAGCAGUAGGGAAUCUUCGGCAAUGGGGGCAACCCUGACCGAGCAACGCCGCGUGAGUGAAGAAGGUUUUCGGAUCGUAAAGCUCUGUUGUAAGAGAAGAACUGUGAGAAGAGUGGAAAGUUUCUCACUUGACGGUAUCUUACCAGAAAGGGACGGCUAACUACGUGCCAGCAGCCGCGGUAAUACGUAGGUCCCGAGCGUUGUCCGGAUUUAUUGGGCGUAAAGCGAGCGCAGGCGGUUUGAUAAGUCUGAAGUAAAAGGCUGUGGCUUAACCAUAGUACGCUUUGGAAACUGUCAAACUUGAGUGCAGAAGGGGAGAGUGGAAUUCCAUGUGUAGCGGUGAAAUGCGUAGAUAUAUGGAGGAACACCGGUGGCGAAAGCGGCUCUCUGGUCUGUAACUGACGCUGAGGCUCGAAAGCGUGGGGAGCGAACAGGAUUAGAUACCCUGGUAGUCCACGCCGUAAACGAUGAGUGCUAGGUGUUGGGUCCUUUCCGGGACUCAGUGCCGCAGCUAACGCAUUAAGCACUCCGCCUGGGGAGUACGACCGCAAGGUUGAAACUCAAAGGAAUUGACGGGGGCCCGCACAAGCGGUGGAGCAUGUGGUUUAAUUCGAAGCAACGCGAAGAACCUUACCAGGUCUUGACAUCCCGAUGACCGCCCUAGAGAUAGGGUUUCUCUUCGGAGCAUCGGUGACAGGUGGUGCAUGGUUGUCGUCAGCUCGUGUCGUGAGAUGUUGGGUUAAGUCCCGCAACGAGCGCAACCCCUAUUGUUAGUUGCCAUCAUUCAGUUGGGCACUCUAGCGAGACUGCCGGUAAUAAACCGGAGGAAGGUGGGGAUGACGUCAAAUCAUCAUGCCCCUUAUGACCUGGGCUACACACGUGCUACAAUGGCUGGUACAACGAGUCGCAAGUCGGUGACGGCAAGCUAAUCUCUUAAAGCCAGUCUCAGUUCGGAUUGUAGGCUGCAACUCGCCUACAUGAAGUCGGAAUCGCUAGUAAUCGCGGAUCAGCACGCCGCGGUGAAUACGUUCCCGGGCCUUGUACACACCGCCCGUCACACCACGAGAGUUUGUAACACCCGAAGUCGGUGAGGUAACCUUUUAGGAGCCAGCCGCCUAAGGUGGGAUAGAUGAUUGGGGUGAAGUCGUAACAAGGUAGCCGUAUCGGAAGGUGCGGCUGGAUCACCUCCUUU